GAAAACGUAUCGAUGAGAAAAGUAAUCUUUAACCAACGAGAUAGAGAGCUUGCAGGGUGGGAACAAGUCACGCGGUGAAAGAUGAACAAUGGCCUCUAAACGGUGCCGCUGAACCUUAAUGGCAAAGUGACAACGACCAGCAGUCGUUAUCCUGCUACCGUAUGAAAAUGUACGGGAUAAGGUUACAAGUGUGAGCUUGUGACAAAGAUAAGGUGGUACCGCGAACGGUAGCUUCGUCCUUUUU
rnacentral:ncRNA from 1 species